UACGGAGGGGGUUAGCGUUGUUCGGAAUCACUGGGCGUAAAGCGCUCGUAGGUGGCUUUGUAAGUCAGAUGUGAAAGCCCACGGCUCAACCGUGGAAUUGCAUUUGAUACUGCAUCGCUAGAGUAUAGGAGAGGGAAGUGGAAUUUCUGGUGUAGGAGUGAAAUCCGUAGAGAUCAGAAGGAACACCCGUGGCGAAGGCGACUUCCUGGACUAUUACUGACACUGAGGAGCGAAAGCGUGGGGAGCAAACAGG
rnacentral:rRNA from 1 species